CCUUUCUCCUUUUUGAAAAAUGAUUUUAUCUACAUGCAUUUUCUCCUGAAUUAUUUUCUCCAUUUCUCAGUUGGGAGGAGAGUCUGAGCCACGGGUUAUUUUCCACAACAUUAUUCAAAUACCUCGCACAAAUCCACCGGUAUUUUUUUUUCCUUCAAAUUAUUCUUAAGUAAAUCCCAAGGUUAAAAACUAAUUAUUUUGGGUCUGUUUUUUGCAGGGGAGACUGUAACAGUUGUGGGGAUCAUGAUACUGCUUUAUUGAGAUACUUCGAUUGCACCCGUCAGGCCCUCGAUCCGCUUUCGAUGGCAAUGUGUUUUUCAGUUUGAAAUAAUGGAAUACAUUCUGGACUUUGCUUUUGAUCGAUUGGAUGCAAAUGGACCUCGGAAUAGAUUGAUCAUCCUAUCCUGAUUACGGAAUGUGUAUGCAACCCAGUUCAAUCUCGCAGUAAAAUGGCAGAACUUCUUUUUGAGACUUACGGAGUUCCAUCUGUAGCAUUGUGGUGUGAUGCUGCUUUCAGCUAUAAGUAUA